CCUAGCCUGGGAACCUCCAUGUGCCACAGGUGUGGCCCUAGAAAAGACAAAAAUAAAUAAAAAUUUUAAAAUACAUAUAUAUCACUAAGCCAUUAUGAUUCUGUUAAAGUGUAGCGCUUACACAGCAUUUAACAGAUGGAUCAAAUCAUAAACGUAUGGUAGCAGAUGCAUGUUUUAUAAAACUCCUAUGUAACAAAGGCAGGAGUAUAUUGUACUGGUGGAGAUUACUAAAAGCCACCAUUGGAACCGAAUAAGCUUAAUGAAAUGAAAAUAGAGAUUCUAAUGCUAUAGUCUCCUUUAAAAUGAACACGCAGGUUGCUGGGGGCAGCACCGCCCACUCUACCACACAGUCACCCACCACCCACUGCAGCCUGGAGCUGGCCAGGUCACAGCUGGACAGGUCAGAGCCACGCUCUGGAAUAUGAACAGGGGGACGCUGUCCCCCCCGUCAGCAGUGGGAGCCUGAGCAAGAAGGUCAUGACAAAGAGGGGCCAGAGUGGCCACCGGGCGCCGUGUGCAGAGCAAGAAGCAGGUGGAGUGAGUGGGGGCUUCAGAAUCCUGGAUUAGACAGGCCUCCUCCAGUGUAUCUGCAUUUCCUUACGCAUGGUAUACGUUUGGCAAGCGGUUGUCAGGGAUGACAUAUAGAGAAAAAGAAAUCUGAAAGGAUGAAAUAGCAAAUAAAUGGUAUCAUUAGCCCAGGUGAUGGAUGCAUGGGUCUUUUAAACUGAAGACAUAUUUUAUACAUCUUAUGUAUGUUCUCCUUUCCUAUAAAAAUCUGAAAUGUAUAUGCACGUAAGUAGAAAGGCUAAUAUUUUCUCCCCACCCUCCAGUGUUGUGUGUGCUCCGGAGUUUGCGGAGACCCGUGCUUUAGCGUCCCGGGCAUCCUCAGUUUCGAUCUACCCUACAUCCUCUCUUGCAGUACCCACCACUCCAUCCCACCACCUUUCUCUGGAGGUUCUGAAUGAGCUUCUGUUUAAUCCGUAAAGGACGGAUUAAAAUAUAGAAAAAGCUUUUGUAAACAUGACUCUAAAGGCAGAAAGCAUAGAGCAAGUCAUUGCUAGACUUGAUCAAAGUCGUAUAUAACGGAGUUACUAUGCCUGAUGAGGAAUGUUUACAAAUCCGUGAGGAAAUAGAGGAUGAGCACCGCGAAAGGUAGGGCUGAGCAAAGGACAUACGGAUUUCAGAAAAGAACAUCAGCUUUUACAUACACACACAGCAUGGCUAGUGAUCAAAUAAUGCAAACUAAAACAGUGGGAUUUUUGCCUUUUGGGUUGAUAAACAUGCUUCAGAAGGUUACCCACUAAGGAGGAGGGUCUGGAGAAACAGACCUUCACAUGAGAGCUGGUGGAACAUAAAGUGUGGCGGCCUUUCUGGAUGGCAGUUUGUCAACACAGAGCAAGGUUCCUCUUCCAUCUUUGUACAUUUUAUCCACGAAAAGACUCGUAGGUUUGCGCAAAGAGUUCCUCAUUGUUUUUGUAAUAAUAACGGAAAUAGUAGAUAAUAGAAAGCAACCCACUCACCCAGCUAUAGGGGAUCCUUAAGACACCCAACUGUGGGAAUAAAAAACCAUGGUAUAUUUCCAAAUAGCAUGAAAAUGGAGCAGCUGAUUGCAUGUUUAAUGAUAUGGAAAGUUAUCCAUAUAUAUAAGUGAAUAAAUAAGCCGUAAACAUUUGAUCCUAUUUUUUGUAUAAACACAACAAAUACCAGGAUCUUAAUAAUGAAUGAUGAUUAUUUUCUAACUUUUGUGGGUCUAUUUUCUAAAUCUGCCUAAAAGAAUACAUGUUUUAUAAUAAAGAGUCAUUUUUAGGAGUUCCCUUCAUGGCGCAGUGGUUAACGAAUCCGACUAGGAACCAUGAGGUUGCGGGUUUGGUCCCUGCCCUUGCUCAGUGGGUUAACGAUCCGGCGUUGCCGUGGGCUGUGGUGUAGAUUGUAGACGCGGCUCGGAUCCCACGUUGCUGUAGCUCUGGCGUAGGCCAGAGGCUACAGCUCCAAUCUGACCCCUAGCCUGGGAAUGUCCAUAUACCGUGGGAGCAGCCCAAGAAAUAGCAAAAAGACCAAAAAAAAAAGUCAUUUUUAGGGAAAACAAUCCUAGCAUCAGGAAGACAAAUAGUUUAUCCCCACAUCAAUUUUGAUCAAACAGCAGUUGCUUCCUGGACUAGAAGAGGGCAAAACUGUGACCAGUCUCCCGGGGUGUGUGCCCUCCUCCACCGACAGCUUCUCCCAGGAUCUGGGAAUAGGCAGUAGCUGCCCCGGUCUGGCGCCUCCAGCCAGGACGUGGAGAUGCUGGGUUUAUUGCUGCUGCCUUGUGGGAGAGACGUGGCCAGACUCAAGCUCCAGAUUCCUGCCUGGGCAAGUCCAGGAGGAAAGGCUCUUGGUAACGCACUGUGCUGGACGUUCACCCUGCACCUGGUGCGUGAAGGACACCCAGCCGCCUCCCAACCCCUAUAUGUGCUUGGAGGAUAAAGCCUGCUUUCAUCCAAGUGGGUCUCUCUGGUGCCUUAAAUCACAGAGGAUAGUCGAGCUGAAGAGGAUGUAAGGGAUCAUUUGGUUCAACUCCUUUUUAAAAAAAAACAAAAAAAAACCAGAAGGAAACCGAGGCCCAAAUAUUUGAGACCUUUUCACUUGUACAAGGGAAAUGUUCUUUCUCCCAAAGGGUGUUGUUAGGGGCCUGUUGAAGCAGUAGGACAGCUUUGUGCACCAGACUCAGAGCAAGGGAACCACGGUCUUCCCACUUCGCUCUUAACACUGGCCAGUGUUCCUCACUGAGUCACAGUUUCCACAUCAAUUAAGUGGGAUAAUUCCACCUGCUCUGCCAGCCCCCUGGGAUUUUUGUAAGGCUCACAUGAGGUAAGGAGCAAAUAAAACACUUGCAAUGUACGCAAGAGGUUACUAAAAUCUCUGAUAAAUGAAAGUUCUCAAAAUAGAAAAAGAUUAACAUCUCUAGAGAAAAAAGACAAAGGACACAAAGGCUAUUCAUAGAACAACAAAUAACCAGUAGCAACAAGAUGAGGUUCAGCCUCACUCAUAAUAAAAGCAAAUAAGGGAGUUCCUGCUAUGAUGCAGUAGGUUAAAGAUCUGGUGUCGUCCCUGAAGCAGUGAGGGUUUGAUUCCCUGGCCUAGGAACUUUCAUAUGCCAUGGGGUGGUCAAAAAAAAAAGAAAAAAGCUUAUCAGGUAUCAGUGAGUUACCUUGUUCACCUGUAAAACUGGCA
rnacentral:lncRNA from 1 species